rnacentral:rRNA from 1 species
AAGGAUCAUUACUGAGUGCGGGUUCUGAUCGAGCCCAACCUCCCACCCGUGUUUACCGUGACCGUGUUGCUUUGGCGGGCCCACCAUGGCUCCCCUCUGGUCGCCGGGGGGCUGCUGCCCCCGGGCCCGUGCCCGCCGAAGCGCCUGUGAACCCUGUCUGAAUAGUGAGUCUGAGUGUGGGAUGAAAUCAUUAAAACUUUCAACAACGGAUCUCUUGGUUCCGGCAUCGAUGAAGAACGCAGCGAAUUGCGAUAAGUAAUGUGAAUUGCAGAAUUCCGUGAAUCAUCGAAUCUUUGAACGCACAUUGCGCCCCCUGGAAUUCCGGGGGGCAUGCCUGUCCGAGCGUCAUUUCUGCCCUCCAGCGCGGCUGGGUGUUGGGUGUUGUCCCCCCGGGGACAUGCCCCAAAGGCAGUGGCGGCGCCGCGUCGGGUCCUCGAGCGUAUGGGGCUCUGUCACUUGCUCGGGACGGACCUGCGGGCGUCGGUCUUCCCCAUGCAGUCUCCCGGAAGGGAGGGUGUCUUCUACGGUUGACCUCGGAUCAGGUAGGGUUACCCGCUGAACUUAAGCAUAUCAAU